rnacentral:rRNA from 1 species
UACAGAGGUCCCAAGCGUUGUUCGGAUUCACUGGGCGUAAAGGGUGCGUAGGUGGUGAGGUAAGUCGGAUGUGAAAUCUUCGGGCUCAACCCGGAAAUGGCAUUGGAAACUACCUUGCUGGAGGAUUUGAGGGGGGGAUUGGAAUACUUGGUGUAGCAGUGAAAUGCGUAGAUAUCAGGAGGAACACCGGUGGCGAAGGCGGGUCUCUGGGCCGGUAUUGACGCUGAGGCGCGAAAGCCAGGGGAGCAAACGGG